AGCGUUGGGCACGGUUAGUACUUGGAUGGGUGACCGCUUGGGAACACCGUGUAACGUUGGUC
rnacentral:rRNA from 1 species